UGAAAACACCACCCACUGCAGUAACUGA
rnacentral:piRNA from 1 species